AUUGAACGCUGGCGGCAGGCCUAACACAUGCAAGUCGAGCGAGCGGCGGACGGGUGAGUACUGUCUGGGAAACUGCCUGAAGGAGGGGGAUCACUACUGGAAACGGUAGCUAAUACCGCAUACCAUGAGCUUUGCCCUGAUGGGAUUAGCUAGUCGGUGGGGUCACGGCUCACCUAGGCGACUAUCCCUAGCUGGUCUGAGAGGAUGACCAGCCACACUGGAACUGAGACACGGUCCAGACUCCUACGGGAGGCAGCAGUGGGGAAUAUUGGACAAUGGGCGCAAGCCUGAUGCAGCCAUGCCGCGUGUGUGAAGAAGGCCUUCGGGUUGUAAAGCACUUUCAGCGGGGAGGCGUUACCCGCAGAAGAAGCACCGGCUAACUCCGUGCCAGCAGCCGCGGUAAUUC
rnacentral:rRNA from 1 species